AAGAGAGGUUUGAUAACAACAAGAACUGCUAAUUCUUCCACCCUGAGUUUAAUUCCCAGGCUCACUUG
ensembl:Mt_tRNA